CAGGCUUAAAGGGGAAUAUCGGGCCGCAGGCCCGGCGCGGCCGUUGCAAAUCCCCCUCCGGGCCGCCCGGGACGGCCGGGGAGCCGUGCACCGGGGCCCUUCGCGCGCCCUGCCUGGAGAGGGGCCGAGCCCAGGGUUUGGUGGGGCCGCUUUAAAAAAGAAGCGCCGCCCGCGCCGCUGCCUCCUCCGCCGUCGCCGCCGCCGCAGCACGCGGGGCCGGGGAAGGAGGGAGGAGCGGAGGGGGAGGGCGGCGGCGGCCACGCAGGGGUUAAUCUUUUCGCCCGCCGACAUUUUUGUGUGGCGGCGCGGACGGGGAGCCCGCCCGCCCGCGCGCGCGCGCGCAGCGCCCUAGCCGCCGGUGUCCUGGCGCUGCGCCUUGGGCCUCCCCCGCCCCCACUCGGCCCUCGUGUCCCUCCGGUCCCCGCCGGCGACGGCCACCGCGGCUGCGGCGACGCCGGGCCUGUGGCGCGGCAUGGCCCUGCCCGCGGCGCGGCACCGUACAAAGAACGCGGCCCGCGCCCGCCGCCGUGCCUUUAAAGGCGGCAGCCUGAGAUUUAAGGUGUCCCCUGAGUGGCAUCCUCCGCACCCGGCCCCAUGGAGGGCGCGGGGCUUCGGCACGCACGCCGCGGCUCCCGGGCCUGUGUGCACGCGCGGGGCCCGGGGACUAGCGGCGAGGUGGAUCGAGAGAGAGGGCGGGGAGAGGCUGAACUGUGAAGAGUGUGGCCCCAGAACCAUGUCUACUCGGGAGUCCUUUAACCCGGAAAGUUAUGAGUUGGACAAGAGCUUCCGCCUAACCAGGUUUACAGAACUGAAAGGCACAGGCUGCAAAGUGCCCCAAGAUGUCUUGCAGAAAUUGCUGGAAUCUUUACAAGAGAACCACUUCCAAGAAGAUGAGCAGUUUCUGGGAGCUGUUAUGCCACGGCUUGGCAUUGGGAUGGAUACUUGCGUCAUUCCUUUGAGGCAUGGUGGUCUUUCCUUGGUUCAAACCACAGAUUACAUUUAUCCGAUCGUUGACGACCCUUACAUGAUGGGCAGGAUAGCAUGUGCUAAUGUCCUCAGUGACCUCUAUGCAAUGGGCGUCACCGAGUGUGACAAUAUGCUGAUGCUCCUUGGAGUCAGUAAUAAAAUGACUGACAGGGAAAGGGAUAAAGUGAUACCGCUAAUUAUACAGGGUUUUAAAGAUGCGGCAGAGGAAGCGGGGACCUCUGUAACAGGGGGCCAAACAGUGUUAAACCCCUGGAUUGUUCUAGGAGGAGUCGCCACAACUGUCUGCCAGCCCAAUGAAUUUAUCAUGCCAGAUAAUGCAGUACCAGGGGAUGUGCUGGUCUUGACAAAACCCCUGGGGACACAAGUUGCGGUUGCUGUGCACCAGUGGCUGGAUAUUCCUGAAAAGUGGAAUAAAAUCAAGCUAGUGGUCACCCAGGAAGAUGUAGAGCUGGCGUACCAGGAAGCAAUGAUGAACAUGGCGCGGCUCAACAGGACAGCUGCAGGCCUUAUGCACACGUUCAAUGCUCACGCAGCCACUGACAUCACAGGCUUUGGGAUUCUGGGCCAUGCACAGAACCUGGCCAAGCAACAGAGGAACGAGGUGUCAUUUGUGAUUCACAACCUUCCUGUGCUGGCCAAGAUGGCAGCUGUGAGCAAAGCCUGUGGAAACAUGUUCGGCCUUAUGCAUGGGACCUGCCCGGAGACAUCAGGAGGCCUGCUCAUCUGUUUACCACGUGAGCAAGCAGCUCGGUUCUGUGCAGAGAUAAAGUCCCCCAAAUACGGUGAAGGCCACCAAGCGUGGAUUAUUGGGAUUGUGGAGAAGGGCAACCGCACAGCCAGAAUCAUCGACAAGCCUCGGAUUAUUGAAGUCGCACCCCAAGUCACCACGCAGAACGUGAACCCCACACCUGGUGCCGCCUCCUAAUCUAGACAGAGCCAGCUACUGGAUUUUGUUUUUAAAUAGAUCUAUUUCUUUAUCAUCACUUCAAUUAAAGACUAAGAACACCACAAAUCUCAUUGUGUCUACACAUCUGGUGACCCUAGGUCGGUUUGUGAGUGGAUGCAAUUAAUAAAAUGAAAUCCAUGGCCUUCUUUUCCUGUUACAUUAACUGAAGAUGCACCCAACCUCGAGGCAGCUUCUGAGUUGAGAAUGAUAUUGUUAUCCAUACUGUUGAUUCAGUUUGAAUCUUUAGAUGCGUAUCUCUUGCCGCAUAGGCGCUUUCUAAAGGUGCUUCCCACCCCAGACAUACUGAGAGCACUGUCACCGGGCAGCCCCUGUCUUCUCCUUUUCUAUUUCAGGGUCUCGGUUGACAUUCUAGAAAGACAGAAUUGGGGCUUCCUUAUCUUUUAACUAUGAAGCAGCUGGGGACUCCCAUCGAUAAGCACAAGGGCACUGGGUCCUCAAGCACCUUCUUCAGUAGAGAAAAGCGCCACUUCUCCAGGUCACAAUGCUUCCUGCUAACAGGCCCCAAAGCUGCACUUUGUAAACUUAACCCAGCCUCACUCCUCAACACAGAAAACCAGGAACCUGCCACUGGGCAAACGGAUUCCCUGAAAGGAAGAGGCCGCAGUGUGUCCUUCAGGAGCCCAGGACCUCCUGUAUCCACCUACAGCUGGAACUGAAGCCACCAAGCAUGGCCCUGAGCAGUGGAAGCUGUCACAGGAGGACACUAACUGGACACUUUAUAGGAAUCUAUAUGAUGUCGGUCCUCGAAAGUACACACCAGUGGUCUGCAAAAUAAAAUGUGUUGGAAUCCUUUGAGUGCAGAAAACAUACUGUUGGGCUUGUUUCUGUUUUGUUUCCUCACGUAGGUGAAAUCAAAGCUAAUUCUAUGUAUGGUCUGCCCCCAGAGCUUGUACUUUUCUUGGUGGCAAGCCUGUUGAGAUGAAGUUUGAUGGAUAAUACCCUGAGUUGUCUUUAAAGGUUCAUAUCAAAAGAAAAUGCUGGGGACUUAAGGGGUCCGUGGACCCCUUGUGUUUUCAGAGUGCUCAGAAACCUGCAUGUUGGAAUCACCCAGGCAUUUAUCAAGAGACAUUCCUGCCCUUUCCCCAGACCCACAGAAUCAGUAGUUCUGGCUGUGGAGCCAGAUAAUCGGCCUUCAAAAUGAGCUCUUUAGGGCUUUGUACGUUAAAGCUUGAGACCCACUAAUCUCGAAAGGAAUGCUGGCGGGUAGUGUAGAAAGUGGGGCUCUCAGGGCUCUUUGUAGUCUUGGCCUUUCUAUUUCAUGUGCCUGACCUGUGACCCAACAACACUGUGUGUGUGUGUGUGUAACUAGAAAGUUCCUUGACUCAAGUGUCUCACUGGGUUCAGUUCCUGAGUUUGGCAAAGUCUAUGUGGAACUCUUAAAUGUAUCCAGCAGUCACUAUUAUCUGAUUUCUGGUACCAGUCUAAAACCACACUGGACACUGUUCAUCUUGGAAAUCUGUAAGUUCUACGAUGAAUGUUGCACCCCUAAUAGUUGGGUAGGAUAAGUAGGAGUACUGAUUAUACCUGGAGAAGCUGGACCCUACUAGAGUCAAUUCCGCUCAUAGAUCCAGAGUUUUUGCAAAGGAAUGUCAAAGUUUAGCUGGUUAUUUCCACAGGCUAGGUUGAAACUAAUUGUUUCUAAGAGAAAAAUGUAAUAACAUACUUGUUCUUUUUGGCUCAGUAUUUUGAAAUAUCUUAGCCUUUCUUAGAAGUUCUGUAUGAGUUAUAAUGAAUUAUGUGGAAGUGUUUUGAUCUGAUUAUAUACAUGUAUGAGCGAAACGUUUGCAGUCUGAAUUCAGCAUUGCUUUUAAAAGUGUCCUGUCUUGAGUUGGUAAGAUGGCUCAGUGAGUACAAGGUGCUUCCCUCAAGCCUGAUGACGUGAGUUCCAUCCCCGGACCCCACAUGAAGGGAAAGCUCAUCUCCACAUGCACACUGUGGCAUGUACUCACACACUUAACAAUAAAUACAAUCUAAAGUAUUUUAAAUGUCAGAGUUCUAGAUCUUUGUCUUACUCUGUAGAGACAGGAAUAUUUUAUUUCGAUCUAUUUUAUUUUUAGAUAGGUGUUAGAGAGACCUGAUGAUGAACGUGCACACACCACUGGAGCUGCUCUUUUCCACAUUGAUCAGGCAGGCACAGCAAUCUCUGCUCCCAACAUUUGUGCCUUCUUUUCUCAUUAGGAAUCCACAUAAGAGUCACAGUCGUGAAACACCAGGGACCAUGAUGAGAAUCCAGAAUCCUGCCAAGAGUGGAGCACAAGCAUGUUUUGCCUUUGUAAAUCUGUCUUGAAUGAAAGGGUGUGGGUGGAUGAAACCAGCCCUGAAUCAAUGGAGUUGGGCAACACUUUCCGGGCAUCUAGGCAUAGUCAUGAACCCCUGGAAGUCAAGCUUGCUGAACCUGAGAGUGAUUGUGGUUUGCUCAGUGAGAAUGGGGUACAUAGGUCUUGUCUGUUCUCUGUAAGGUUUCCUAUACUUGACAGUCCUCAGAUGCCAAAACUGUUGGUUGUCCUUGAUAGGGAGUUUAAAUGCCCAGGAGAAAGGCAUGUAAUGAAGCCCAUCAAACUCAAUGGAACUGGGCCUGAUAACAGGGCUGUAAUCCCAUAUACUCAGGAGGCUGACACAAAAGGACCACAAGUUCAAAGUCAGCCAGGGCAACCUAAAGAGGCCCUGCUCUGCUCUCUUGGGGGUGUAGUUCAGUGGUAGAGUACUUGCCUAGCAUGCACAAGGCCCCAGGUUUAGUCCACAGUAUUAGCAAAAGCCAAACUUCCGUGAAAGAAAACAAAAAUUUGCUAUGGUUCCUGGAUUAUGGAAAAGGCUGAUAUAGCUUCCAUUAUUGUGUUUCAGGAAUAAAAAUACAUGUACAUGGAAAUAUAUAGGAUGUAGUGUUUAUCAUCCAGGCACAUUUUGUAUAGUUUUAAAACAAAAUUAUAUAAAAUUUGAUGUCU